UACACUCCUACGGGAGGCAGCAGUGGGGAAUUUUGGACAAUGGGCGAAAGCCUGAUCCAGCCAUGCCGCGUGCAGGAUGAAGGCCUUCGGGUUGUAAACUGCUUUUGUACGGAACGAAACGGCCUUUUCUAAUAAAGAGGGCUAAUGACGGUACCGUAAGAAUAAGCACCGGCUAACUACGUGCCAGCAGCCGCGGUAAUACGUAGGGUGCAAGCGUUAAUCGGAAUUACUGGGCGUAAAGCGUGCGCAGGCGGUUAUGUAAGACAGUUGUGAAAUCCCCGGGCUCAACCUGGGAACUGCAUCUGUGACUGCAUAGCUAGAGUACGGUAGAGGGGGAUGGAAUUCCGCGUGUAGCAGUGAAAUGCGUAGAUAUGCGGAGGAACACCGAUGGCGAAGGCAAUCCCCUGGACCUGUACUGACGCUCAUGCACGAAAGCGUGGGGAGCAAACAGGAUUAGAAACCCGAGUAGUCCCAUGAU
rnacentral:rRNA from 1 species